rnacentral:lncRNA from 1 species
UCAGUUAACAACUUCAAAGCAGACUCAUAACUUUCAUCACCAACUUCGGAAAAUCGGUUGACAACCACCAUCACGAGCACAAUCUGCCAACACCAAAUCGGACAACCACCAUCACGAGCACCACCUACCACCACCCCUCAUCAAAAAUACAAACCCUCUAUACCCACCAUCAUUCAGAUCUGAACUCACCAUCCAAGAUCUGAGCAAGAUUUGGUCGGAGAAGAAAGGUUGGUGGACGAUGGUGGUGUUACCGAAGAAGAAAGAAGUGCUGGUGGUGUUUCAAAGAAUUUAGUGCAUACCUUCUGACACAACUAGUUCGAUCUACGCUCCAAUCCAACCAUAUAUGAUUUCUACUCGUCGGGACUUACGAGUUGGCGUGUGACGGAGCUUAGGGUUUGUGGAGGUGGAUGGUCAGAGGAGAUGUAUACUGGUGUGGCGGGGGUGGAUGUUCGAAGUUGGAUGGUGCUUUGCGGAGAUGAUGGAUGCUGGUAUGACGAGGUGGAUGGUGAUGUGCGGCAGUGAUGGAUUUUGGUAGUCAGAGAUAGAGAUAAAGGGGAAGAAGGUUGAACUGUGUUUGUUGAUGGUGGGUUGGGUGAGAUUAAUGGGUUUUGUUUAAAAAUAAUAAUUGAAUAUGUGGAAUGACAAAAAUAGCCUCGUAUGGGGUCCACUUGAUCAGAUUUAACCAUGAAAACUGAUUGAAUUAGGGCUAAAUGACAUACCGUGCAAGGAUUUGCAAACAUCGAGUAUGUUUUUGUACAUUUUGAAGACAAAUGACACACUUUGCAAUAUAAUGUUAACAUAAAGGAUGACUUUUGUGAUUUACUCUUAGCUCUUAGUUUAAAGAAGGUCCAAAGAAUUAAUGUGUUAAUAUUGAAACUGUAAUGUAAACUAGGAAUAUCAUCGACGCUU